rnacentral:rRNA from 1 species
UUAAUUGAUUAGGACGUGCUUGCACUGAAUAAGAUUUUAACACGAAGUGAGUGGCGGACGGGUGAGUAACACGUGGGUAACCUGCCCAGAAGCAGGGGAUAACACCUGGAAACAGAUGCUAAUACCGUAUAACAGAGAAAACCGCCUGGUUUUCUUUUAAAAGAUGGCUCUGCUAUCACUUCUGGAUGGACCCGCGGCGCAUUAGCUAGUUGGUGAGGUAACGGCUCACCAAGGCGAUGAUGCGUAGCCGACCUGAGAGGGUAAUCGGCCACAUUGGGACUGAGACACGGCCCAGACUCCUACGGGAGGCAGCAGUAGGGAAUCUUCCACAAUGGACGCAAGUCUGAUGGAGCAACGCCGCGUGAGUGAAGAAGGGUUUCGGCUCGUAAAGCUCUGUUGUUAAAGAAGAACGUGGGUGAGAGUAACUGUUCACCCAGUGACGGUAUUUAACCAGAAAGCCACGGCUAACUACGUGCCAGCAGCCGCGGUAAUACGUAGGUGGCAAGCGUUAUCCGGAUUUAUUGGGCGUAAAGCGAGCGCAGGCGGUCUUUUAAGUCUAAUGUGAAAGCCUUCGGCUCAACCGAAGAAGUGCAUUGGAAACUGGGAGACUUGAGUGCAGAAGAGGACAGUGGAACUCCAUGUGUAGCGGUGAAAUGCGUAGAUAUAUGGAAGAACACCAGUGGCGAAGGCGGCUG